rnacentral:rRNA from 1 species
GACGAACGCUGGCGGCGUGCUUAACACAUGCAAGUCGAACGGAAAGGCCCUGCUUUUGUGGGGUGCUCGAGUGGCGAACGGGUGAGUAACACGUGAGUAACCUGCCCUUGACUUUGGGAUAACUUCAGGAAACUGGGGCUAAUACCGGAUAGGAGCUCCUGCUGCAUGGUGGGGGUUGGAAAGUUUCGGCGGUUGGGGAUGGACUCGCGGCUUAUCAGCUUGUUGGUGGGGUAGUGGCUUACCAAGGCUUUGACGGGUAGCCGGCCUUGGAGGGUGACCGGCCACAUUGGGACUGAGAUACGGCCCAGACUCCUACGGGAGGCAGCAGUGGGGAAUAUUGCACAAUGGGCGGAAGCCUGAUGCAGCAACGCCGCGGGCGGGAUGACGGCCUGCGGGUUGCAAACCGCUUUCGCCUGUGACGAAGCGUGAGUGACGGUAAUGGGUAAAGAAGCACCGGCUAACUACGCG